rnacentral:rRNA from 1 species
GAGCUUGCUCUUCGAUUCAGCGGCGGACGGGUGAGUAAUGCCUAGGAAUCUGCCUGGUAGUGGGGGACAACGUUUCGAAAGGAACGCUAAUACCGCAUACGUCCUACGGGAGAAAGCAGGGGACCUUCGGGCCUUGCGCUAUCAGAUGAGCCUAGGUCGGAUUAGCUAGUUGGUGAGGUAAUGGCUCACCAAGGCGACGAUCCGUAACUGGUCUGAGAGGAUGAUCAGUCACACUGGAACUGAGACACGGUCCAGACUCCUACGGGAGGCAGCAGUGGGGAAUAUUGGACAAUGGGCGAAAGCCUGAUCCAGCCAUGCCGCGUGUGUGAAGAAGGUCUUCGGAUUGUAAAGCACUUUAAGUUGGGAGGAAGGGCAGUAAGAUAAUACCUUGCUGUUUUGACGUUACCGACAGAAUAAGCACCGGCUAACUCUGUGCCAGCAGCCGCGGUAAUACAGAGGGUGCAAGCGUUAAUCGGAAUUACUGGGCGUAAAGCGCGCGUAGGUGGUUUGUUAAGUUGGAUGUGAAAGCCCCGGGCUCAACCUGGGAACUGCAU